rnacentral:rRNA from 1 species
AUUGAACGCUGGCGGCAUGCCUUACACAUGCAAGUCGAACGGUAACGGGCCUUCGGGUGCCGACGAGUGGCGAACGGGUGAGUAAUACAUCGGAACGUGCCCGAUCGUGGGGGAUAACGAGGCGAAAGCUUUGCUAAUACCGCAUACGAUCUACGGAUGUAAGCAGGGGACCGCAAGGCCUUGCGCGGACGGAGCGGCCGAUGGCAGCUUAGGUAGUUGGUGGGAUAAAAGCUUACCAAGCCGACGAUCUGUAGCUGGUCUGAGAGGGUGAUCAGCCACACGGGUACUGAGACACGGCCCAGACUCCUACGGGAGGCAGCAGUAGGGAAUUUUGGACAAUGGGCGCAAGCCUGAUCCAGCCAUGCCGCGUGCAGGAUGAAGGCCUUCGGGUUGUAAACUGCUUUUGUACGGAACGAAAAGCCUUCUUUUAAUACAGGAGGGUCAUGACGGUACCGUAAGAAUAAGCACCGGCUAACUACGUG